CCCUUAGAUGUUCUGGGCCGCACGCGCGCUACACUGUUCGACGCAGCGAGUCUUAACCUUGACCGAAAGGUUUGGGUAAUCUUCAGCAAAGUCGAACGUGAUGGGGAUCGAUCAUUGCAAUUAUUGAUCGUGAACGAGGAAUUCCUAGUAAGUGCAAGUCAUCAGCUUGCGCUGAUUACGUCCCUGCCCUUUGUACACACCGCCUGUCGCUACUACCGAUUGAAUGGUUUAGUGAGAUCUCUGGAUUGACGCUGGCUAGGGGGCGACCCUUGGCCAGACUGUUGAGAAACUGCUCAAACUUGAUCAUUUAGAGGAAGUAAAAGUCGUAACA
rnacentral:rRNA from 1 species